CCUACGGGGAGCAGCAGUGAGGAAUAUUGGUCAAUGGGCGCGAGCCUGAACCAGCCAAGUCGCGUGAAGGAUGAAGGAUCUAUGGUUUGUAAACUUCUUUUAUAUGGGAAUAAAGUGAGGAACGUGUUCCUUUUUGUAUGUACCAUAUGAAUAAGCAUCGGCUAACUCCGUGCCAGCAGCCGCGGUAAUACGGAGGAUGCGAGCGUUAUCCGGAUUUAUUGGGUUUAAAGGGUGCGUAGGUGGUUAAUUAAGUCAGCGGUGAAAGUGUGUGGCUCAACCAUAGAAUUGCCGGUGAUACUGGUUGACUAGAGUAUAGUUGAGGUAGGCGGAAUGCAUGGUGUAGCGGUGAAAUGCAUAGAGAUCACGCAGAACUCCGAUUGCGAAGGCAGCUUACUAAGCUAUAACUGACAUUGAAGCACGAAAGCGUGGGGAUCAAACAGGAUUAGAUACCCUAGUAGUC
rnacentral:rRNA from 1 species